AACCACCCCAACAUAUUGCUUAGUGUUGUUGCAGGAAAGAGUAGAUACUUUCAACUUUUGGAUUUUGACUAAUACAACAAAUGAAAACAAUAAGUCAAUUUGAGUUAGAUCUUUUGUAAUAGCUCUGGAGGCUAACCAUCCAAGACCAAGAUGUCAGCAGGAUUGGUUCCUGAGGGCCUUGAGGAAGAAUCUGUUCCAGGACUUUCCCUUUGGCUUGCCAUUGGCCAUAUUCUCUCUGUGUCUUCUCACGUCUUCCCUCUGUAUUUGUUUCCAAAUUUCCUCUUCUUAUAAGGACAGUAGUCAUAUUGGAAAAAGGAACACCCUAAUAACCUAAUUUUAACUUGAUUACCUCUUUAAAGACCUUAUCUCCAAAUACCAUCACAUUCUGAACUAUUAAAGAUUAAUGCGUCAAUAUAUGAAUUUUGUGAGGGGCAGGGAGACAGAAUACAACCAACCCACAACACCCAGAUACAUAGCGAAAUCUUCUUCUUCUAGGCCCCCUGUGCCUGUGUCCACCACUUCAUCCCCCAAUUAGCUAUAUUUGAAAAAGUAAGAGGGAAAGAACAGUUGGAGGGGGAAGAGAGAGAGAAAGAAGACAGACAACUUAGAUUAUGUGCCCUAGAUGUUGGCCUUACAAAACGGGAGCAAAUCUUAACCAAUCAUUGUAGCAAAACCUUUUGUUUAUGAAGGAAGUUCCUUUUGUUUCUUUUCAGUCCACUCUACCUGCUAAUUAAAAUCAAUAAUAUGAGAUGCCGUGCUAUCUUUCCUACCUGAGCCACUUAUACUGUAUUGUCAGGUUUGGUUUAUUUCAUUUUCUGAGCUUAUUUGCCAGUUAAUCAUUUGUUUUUAUAUUACAAAGUGGCUCAUCUCUGCCUCAUUACACACUGAAAGUAAUGCCUGACAAGCGAUUGUCCAACGCUCACCAAACCGUGCUUGUGCAGGUUGGCAAAGGAUGCUCUCAGCAUAGACAGGCUGACUUACAUACAGCCAGCCUACCUUUCCUGUCUCACUAUCAGAUCUGUUCAUAGGUCCCGACACAGGGGAAAAAAAUCAGAAUGAUAUAUAGAAUUAAAGGAUAAUGGAACUGGAAUAAUGUUGAGCAUCUUAAUUAGAGACUUUGGGCAGGAUAUAAUCAUACAUGUGAGUUGAAUACGUAAUUAGAAGAUUAGAAUCUUUGAAAAAGAAGGAAGCGUUAGUAUUCUUUAGUUAGCAAAAUGCACUGUUUUAUAGAAUGUAAAACAAACAGCACCAAAGAAGACAAAGUUUUAUAAAAUGACUUUCCCAAGGUUUACUCAUUUCUUCAUAUAAGAGAAUGUGCUUCCAAUGUACUGUGAAGAUCUACAGCAUUAUUUACUGAUGUAAAAGAAAACAUUUUUCAUUAAUUAUUUUGCCCAUCUUCUGAGUCCUCCUGUAUUUCAUAUUGUACCAAGGUCUAUCAAUAAAUUGAUAAGCUCAGUGCAAACAGAAUAAAUG
rnacentral:lncRNA from 1 species